rnacentral:lncRNA from 1 species
AUGGCAAGGUGCAGUGUGGCUUGGCAAAGCGUGGCAAGGCGAAGCUUGGCAAGGCAAGGUGCAGCUUGGAAAGGCGUGGCUUGGCUAGGCUUGGCUUGGCUUGGCUUGGCAAGGAAACGCAUGACUUGGCUUGGCAACGUGCGGCCUGGCUUGGCUUGGCUUGGCUUGGCUAGGCUUGGCUUGGCUUGGCUUGGCAAGGCAAGGCAAGGAAUGGAAAGGCAAGGCUCAGUUUGGCUUGGCUUGGCUUGGCUUGGCUUGGCUUGGCUUGGCUUGGCUUGGCUUGGCUUGGCUUGGCUUGGCUUGGCUUGGCUUGGCUUGGCUUGGCUUGGCAUGGCUUGGCUUGGCUUGGCUUGGCUUGGCUUGGCUUGGCUUGGCAUGGGGNNNNNNNNNNNNNNNNNNNNNNNNNUGGCUUGGCUUGGCUUGGCUUGGCUUGGCUUGGCUUGGCUUGGCUUGGCUUGGCUUGGCUUGGCUUGGCUUGGCUUGGCUUGGCUUGGCUUGGCAUGGUGUGGCUUGGCAAGGCACGGUGUGGUGUGGCUUGGCUUGGCUUGGCUUGGCAAGGCAAGGCAAGGCAAGGUACAGCUUGGGUUGGCAAGGCAAGGCGCGGCAAGGCAAGGCAAGACAAGGCAGGGUGCAGCUUGGUUUGGAAAGGCAAGGCAAGGAAUACAUGUGCAUGUUUCAGUGACAAGAAUAAAAGGGAGAAAAACUCGCACUAAAUCAGGUUGAGAAUACUGUAAAAUACGGUUAGAAAAAAACCUAGCUAGGACGAACAGAGAAUGAACUGGUUUUCUCCUUGUUCAUCUUUAAGAAAAUAAUCCAGCCAGCUGAAUAAUGCAGGUAAAUCUCAGGAAAUUAUGAAGAGCCUGGGAUACAUCUAUACUUUGUGAAAUGAUAUAAAUGACAGGCAGCCUGUGCUCAGCUACUAUCUGCUUAAUGCUGGGCCUGAGGGUAAAAGGAGGUUUCAGCUUUCUAAUCUUAUAUUACCAAUGUAAAGAAUUUGAAAGUCAGGAGCUGAGCAGUAUAGCUUAAUCGUACUCUUCUGAAAGAUCAAAUUAUUCUUAAAAUAGAUUUUGUUGCUUAUUUUUCUUACUGGAUUCAGAGCUUUUAGGAUUGAUCUAAUUCAUUUUUAUAAAAGGAAAAGAACUUAAAAAUGAAAUUCAUGACUUUUACAAAUCACAAAGUACAAAAUCGUGAAUCUUCAUGAACAGUACCAAAAAAACAAAACAAAACAAAAAAAACACCAGCCAACACAAAACUGGAUAUUCCCAGUGAAACCAGAAAAGAUUCUUCAUUGUCCUUUAUGUACAUUAAUGAGGAAAACACGUUAACAUUAAUAAAAACAAAGAUGACCAGAUGAAUUUAGAGCUA